GUUUAGGUGGCUUUGUGGUUAGAGCGUCCGCCUCAGAUGCGGGAGGUUCGGUUCGAACCUCGGUUAAGUCA